rnacentral:tmRNA from 1 species
GGGGGCGAAUGGUUUCGACGUGGGUGGCAACGUGAUCGAUGGCGCGAUCGCCGGGCUCACAACGGCGUAAAUACUGUGGGAACAAGAACUGCGAACGAUAACGCGGUUUCCUACGCUCUCGCGGCCUGAAAAACCCCUGAGCCGUCUCGCGACCAGUCUGCCAGUACUGACCGCGCGGCGUAACUGAACCGGCUGGCCCUCCGCCCGUGCACCCGGGGUGGAGGGCGAGACAAACAGGGAGCUGGUCCCGCGGAUCGCACGCCGACUGGCCUGAUGCGGGACGAGAUCUGACAGACGGCUACAUCGCGUAGAAGUCAUCGCCGAGCGCUUGCGGACCCGGGUUCGACUCCCGGCGCCUCCACC